rnacentral:rRNA from 1 species
CUUAAAGGAAUUGACGGGGAGCACCACAACAGGUGGAGCCUGCGGUUUAAUCGGACUCAACGCCGGGAAGCUCACCGGAUAAGACAGCGGAAUGAUAGCCGGGCUGAAGACUCUGCUUUGACUAGCUGAGAGUAGGUGCAUGGCCGUCGUCAGUUCGUACUGUGAAGCAUCCUGUUAAGUCAGGCAACGAGCGAGACCCACGCCAACAGUUGCCAGCAUGUCCUCCGGGAUGGUGGGGACACUGUUGGGACCGCCUCUGCUAAAGAGGAGGAAGGAAUGGGCAACGGUAGGUCAGCAUGCCCCGAAUUAUCCGGGCUACACGCGGGCUACAAUGGUCAGGACAAUGGGCAUCAACACCGAAAGGUGAAGGCAAUCUCUUAAACCUGUCCUUAGUUCGGAUUGUGGGCUGCAACUCGCCCACAUGAAGCUGGAAUCUGUAGUAAUCGCGUCUCAAAAUGGCGCGGUGAAUAUGUCCCUGCUCCUU